UACGGGGGGGGGCAAGCGUUGCUCGGAAUUACUGGGCGUAAAGGGCCAGUAGGCGGCCAACUAAGUCGGAUGUGAAAUCCCCAGGCUUAACCUGGGAACUGCAUCCGAUACUGGAUGGCUUGAAUUCGGGAGAGGGAUGCAGAAUUCCAGGUGUAGCGGUGAAAUGCGUAGAUAUCUGGAGGAAUACCGGUGGCGAAGGCGGCAUCCUGGACCGACAUUGACGCUGAACGGCGAAAGCUAGGGGAGCGAAACGGG
rnacentral:rRNA from 1 species